GGAGUCUGGGCCGUAUCUCAGUCCCAAUGUGGCCGAUCAGCCUCUCAGCUCGGCUACCCAUCGCGGGCACGGUGGGCCGUUACCCCGCCGUCUACCUAAUGGGCCGCGACCCCAUCCCAUGCCGUAAGGGCUUUCCCGCCCCCUCCAUGCGGGAGGGGCGGAGUAUCCGGUAUUAGCCUGCGUUUCCGCAGGUUAUCCCGGAGCAUGGGGCAGGUUGGUCACGUGUUACUCACCCGUUCGCCACUCUAUGUCCGGCCGAGGCCGGUUUAAUCGUUCGACUUGCAUGUGUUAAGCACGCCGCCAGCGUUCAUC
rnacentral:rRNA from 1 species